GAUGAACGCUGGCGGCGUGCUUAACACAUGCAAGUCGAACGGAAAGGCCCAAGCUUGCUUGGGUACUCGAGUGGCGAACGGGUGAGUAACACGUGGGUGAUCUGCCCUGCACUUCGGGAUAAGCCUGGGAAACUGGGUCUAAUACCGGAUAGGACCACAUUUUGGAUGGUGUGGUGGAAAGUUUUUCGGUGUGGGAUGAGCUCGCGGCCUAUCAGCUUGUUGGUGGGGUAAUGGCCUACCAAGGCGUCGACGGGUAGCCGGCCUGAGAGGGUGUACGGCCACAUUGGGACUGAGAAACGGCCCAGACUCCUACGGGAGGCAGCAGUGGGGAAUAUUGCACAAUGGGCGCAAGCCUGAUGCAGCGACGCCGCGUGGGGGAUGACGGCCUUCGGGUUGUAAACUCCUUUCGCUAGGGACGAAGCGUUUUUGUGACGGUACCUGGAGAAGAAGCACCGGCUAACUACGUG
rnacentral:rRNA from 1 species